rnacentral:rRNA from 2 species
UACGUAGGGGGCAAGCGUUGUCCGGAUUUAUUGGGCGUAAAGAGCGUGUAGGCGGCCAGGUAGGUCGGUUGUGAAAACUAGAGGCUUAACCUCUAGACGUCGACCGAAACCAUCUGGCUAGAGUCCGGAAGAGGAGAGUGGAAUUCCUGGUGUAGCGGUGAAAUGCGCAGAUAUCAGGAAGAACACCCGUGGCGAAAGCGGCUCUCUGGGACGGUACUGACGCUGAGACGCGAAAGCGUGGGGAGCGAACAGG